AUUUAUCAAAUUUUUAGAUAUUUCAAACAAAUCAGAAAAAUAAACCAUUCUAUCGAGAGGAGUAUAAUAAAAUGACCAAACAUACAACGCAAGCUCAACCAACAACUUCAAAUAUUUUAGUCAUUUUAUUAUGCUCAUAGGACUGGAACUUUAGUAAAGAAACUACUAAACGUUUAAGUCCUUAUUCUAGUUGAAUGGGGCUUUAAAG
rfam:Staphylococcus saprophyticus subsp. saprophyticus ATCC 15305 DNA, complete genome.